AACGUAGGUGGCGAGCGUUAUCCGGAAUUACUGGGCGUAAAGCGUGUGCAGGCGGGCUAGCAAGUGGUGUAUGAAAGCUCCCGGCUCAACCGGGAAGGGUUAUGCCAGACUGCUAGUCUUGAGUGCGAGAGAGGAGCGUGGAAUUCCGGGUGUAGUGGUGAAAUGCGUAGAGAUCCGGAGGAACCCCAGAGGCGAAGGCGGUUGCCUGGGGCUUUGCUGACGCUGAUGCGCGAAAGCGUGGGGAGCAAACGGG
rnacentral:rRNA from 1 species